UACAGAGGUCCCAAGCGUUGUUCGGAUUCACUGGGCGUAAAGGGUGCGUAGGUGGUCGGGUAAGUCUGAUGUGAAAUCUCCGAGCUUAACUCGGAAAUGGCAUUGGAUACUAUUCGGCUAGAGGGUUUGAGGGGGGACUGGAAUACUUGGUGUAGCAGUGAAAUGCGUAGAUAUCAAGUGGAACACCAGUGGCGAAGGCGAGUCCCUGGAAAACUCCUGACACUGAGGCACGAAAGCUAGGGGAGCAAACAGG
rnacentral:rRNA from 1 species